GGACAAUGGGCGAAAGCCUGAUCCAGCCAUGCCGCGUGUGUGAAGAAGGUCUUCGGAUUGUAAAGCACUUUAAGUUGGGAGGAAGGGCAGUAACCUAAUACGUUAUUGUUUUGACGUUACCGACAGAAUAAGCACCGGCUAACUUCGUGCCAGCAGCCGCGGUAAU
rnacentral:rRNA from 1 species